UAUUCUGCCCCAUGGGAAAGGAUGAGAAGCUUCGACUAAGGUUCGACUCGAGCGAAGCGAGAGAACGUUGCCGCUGGCAAUGGCCCGAAGGGCGAGGAGCGAUAGCGACGAGUUAUCCUUCCCCCACCACCA
rnacentral:sRNA from 1 species